rnacentral:tRNA from 1 species
GGGCUUGUAGCUCAGCUGGUUAGAGCGUUCGGUUCACAUCCGAAAGGUCGGCCGUUCGAAUCGGCCCAAGCCCA